AAAGACAAGAGGACAUCGGCGAAGCCUACAUCUCGAAUGAGUAGCUUCAAGUUGGACAAGAUGACUUGGCCAAUAUUACUCGUGGUCCCCAAAUUUUGAAGACUACGUAAUCAAGUCUAAACUUCUAUUAAUUAAUAGCGUAGCCUUUAAUUUUUCAAAUGUUAACAUCAAUGUCAUAAAUAUUUUUUCCGUUAGUACAAAUAGACUCGAG
rnacentral:lncRNA from 1 species